ACUCAAAGGAAUAGACGGGGACCCGCACAAGCGGUGGAUGAUGUGGUUUAAUUCGAUGCAACGCGAAAAACCUUACCUACCCUUGACAUGUCUAGAAGUUACCAGAGAUGGUUUCGUGCUCGAAAGAGAGCUAGAACACAGGUGCUGCAUGGCCGUCGUCAGCUCGUGUCGUGAGAUGUUGGGUUAAGUCCCGCAACGAGCGCAACCCUUAUCAUUAGUUGCUACGCAAGGGCACUCUAAUGAGACUGCCGGUGACAAACCGGAGGAAGGUGGGGAUGACGUCAGGUCAUCAUGGCCCUUAUGGGUAGGGCUACACACGUCAUACAAUGGCCGGUACAGAGGGCUGCCAACCCGCGAGGGGGAGCUAAUCUCAGAAAACCGGUCGUAGUCCGGAUCGCAGUCUGCAACUCGACUGCGUGAAGUCGGAAUCGCUAGUAAUCGCGGAUCAGCUUGCCGCGGUGAAUACGUUCCCGGGUCUUGCACACACCGCCCGU
rnacentral:rRNA from 1 species